AACACCUCCCCUGCGUUGCUUUAGGCACACACUCGUCGUUCCCAUGUUGUGCGCUCCUCUUUGACCACCAACACCUAAUUCCUCACCUUGAGUCCUCGACCUUUACCGCAACCUCCUAGAUGAGCGCUGGGACGGGUACGACAUGGCCGCAUGGGCACCGCAGUCGGGGUGUGGGCGAGGCCACAUUGCGACGACAAUUGUGUGGGGAAAAUGGUGGGCUGGUAAUAACAACAAAGGAGGCUCCGUCAUCCUUAGGAUCCAUAAUUGUCGCACCAUCUUCACUGCACAUUAGCUACAAGGUGCAAGCAAGAAUAAAGAUAUGGCUUCGUUGACACUUGUUCUUAAAGUUUGGCAUGGAUGUCAAGGAUCAUUCUGCUUGUUUCAACAAUCAUAGGAGUGAGCAUAACUUGUCAGAUACCCUCCCGCAUUAAGCUUGUGACACACUUCUAAAAUUGUUUAACAACACUUGUACUUAUAUGCGGAAGAUGUAAACAUUAUUGUUUGUCUUGGCUUUCCAAAACCCUAAAUUGUUAUGCUUUGAACAAUGGAUGUGAAUGAAGUACCAUUUACCAAACACAAAAA